GCACUUCUAUCUCAUGAACAGUUAUAUGCACAUAUGUAGAAAUUAAUGUAAAAGCCAUGUUUCUUCAUAUAAGGCAGUGAAAGAUUUGGGUAUUUUAUACUGGUGUGAAUUUCAGUAUCUUAUUUUGUACAAUUCUGUAUACAAUGGUAGCUACACGUAAACAAGUAGGUGUUACGCUAUAUCUAACUUUAAAACUUUUAAUGCCUAAUUUGAAGUAAUCUUAAAGGAUCUUCACUGCCUACUAAGUAAUGUAUUUGGACAUAUGUAUUGAUAAUGUUAUUUACAAAGAGACAUUGAUGUUUUACUUGUGCUUCCUUUCCUGAAUUUUAUUAUUCAUGUACCAAAAUGUUUAUCUGCAAAAAAAAGUCCCUUAAUAUAUGGGAGUGGGGGGACAUUUGGAGAAUAUUUUUAUAACAAUUUUGUAGGUAGCAUAUAUAUUAUAAUGGUAUUGAAGUGGAAAGUUAUCAUGUUUUACAUAAAAGUAGUAAUGUAACUUAUUUAACAUAUUAAACUUCAGUUUCUUACAGUAAUUUUUGACAGUGCAUGUUCGAAAGUGCCUCACAAUUAGGGGUUUCUUUGAACAGCAAGUGGGUACAUUUGACCAUGCACAAAAAAUAUUUCUGAACAGGAAUCAAAUUAAAUUAAUAUAUCAGAUGAUCUUAAGAUUUGUAGAUGAAUACUUUUUUCCAUUGAAGAAAAAAAGUCUAUGCCAGAAGACUUCAGUGACUGAGUACAAACUGUCCCACCAGAAACACUGGGCUUAGGCAGUUUCAGUAUAAUAUCUCUCUCUGUUUUACCAUCAUAAUCUUUUCCUGUACCAUUCAAACCUGCUCCACAUUCUUUCGUUAUAAAUAACCUUACAGAAGAUAAUAAAUUACAACAAAAUAAAUAAAACAAACAUUUGUUGCAGAGAAACAUACACUUCAGAUUGCAGAAUAGCAUAAACAAAUUUUUCCAAAUUCUUUUUAAUUGCAACAUGAAUCCCACAAAAUAAAAUUCACAGAUUUACUUUUCCCACCAUAAAACAAAAAGGUUCUUCAUUGCCUCCGAACUAUAGACUGGAUUGGAGGGAAACACCUGUUGACCAGGACUGUCACAAUCGAUAACUCAAAGAAAUUAUAACACCCUCAGUUGAUUGGCUCAAAAUUCAAACUUCAAAUGUACCCUCAUCUCCCCUACAUUUUUAACAAAUAGAUACCUAUUUUGUUAUAUGAAUUAUGUUUACUGGAAGAUAAAUUUUAUAUUGAGGUUUUUUUGGGGGGCUGAUAAUUUAUUUUUAGAAUUUAGGUUACUAAACCCUGGUUUUAUGUUUUAAGUGGUUUGUAUGUUAUGACCACUGAAGUCAAAACUCAUUUGUUUCAGUUGGUAAAAGUGACAUACAUUAGCUGACAUUCAUCUGUGAUUGACAAUGUCAUGUCAUUGCUUCAUUGAAUAUAAUCAGUUCAUACAAGGAUAAUUAGUUGCAGUUUCCACUGCAGCCAAGGACAGAACCAGCAGCCUUCUGUGUAUAUAUACCAGGUACUGUUCACAGAAAAGAGAAGUCAAUCUGUCAUGACUACACAGCAAACAAGAAGAGGAGUCAGAGUCAUUUACUGAAGGGCAGGAACCAAGUGACGCCAAGAUGAAGCUCGUAGUUAAAACGUUGACUGGCGG